AAGUCGUAACAAGGUUUCCGUAGGUGAACCUGUGGAAGGAUCAUUACAUUCAGUAGCCUAGCUACUUGUUUAUACCCUUGUUUUUUGCGUACCUAUUGUUUCCUCGGCGGGCUUGCUCGCCGGUUGGACAAAAAUUACAACCUUUUUAAAUCUUCAAUCAGCGUCUGAAUUAUACAUAAUAAUUACAACUUUCAACAACGGAUCUCUUGGUUCUG
rnacentral:misc_RNA from 1 species